AGAUUGAACGCUGGCGGCAUGCCUUACACAUGCAAGUCGAACGGCAGCACGGGAGCAAUCCUGGUGGCGAGUGGCGAACGGGUGAGUAAUAUAUCGGAACGUGCCCAGUCGUGGGGGAUAACGCAGCGAAAGCUGUGCUAAUACCGCAUACGAUCUAUGGAUGAAAGCGGGGGAUCGCAAGACCUCGCGCGAUUGGAGCGGCCGAUAUCAGAUUAGCUAGUUGGUGGGGUAAAAGCCUACCAAGGCGACGAUCUGUAGCUGGUCUGAGAGGACGACCAGCCACACUGGAACUGAGACACGGUCCAGACUCCUACGGGAGGCAGCAGUGGGGAAUUUUGGACAAUGGGCGCAAGCCUGAUCCAGCAAUGCCGCGUGCAGGAUGAAGGCCUUCGGUUGUAAACUGUCUUUUGAACGGUAACGAACGGUUCUCUCUAAUACGAGGGUCUAAGUGACGGUACCGUAAGAAUAAGACGACCGG
rnacentral:rRNA from 1 species